rnacentral:rRNA from 1 species
UACAGAGGUCUCAAGCGUUGUUCGGAAUCACUGGGCGUAAAGCGUGCGUAGGCUGUUUCGUAAGUCGUGUGUGAAAGGCGCGGGCUCAACCCGCGGACGGCACAUGAUACUGCGAGACUAGAGUAAUGGAGGGGGAACCGGAAUUCUCAGUGUAGCAGUGAAAUGCGUAGAUAUCGAGAGGAACACUCGUGGCGAAGGCGGGUUCCUGGACAUUAACUGACGCUGAGGCACGAAGGCCAGGGGAGCGAAAGGG